rnacentral:ncRNA from 1 species
UGACUUUAAGGACGGACCCGGAAACGGGAGGACGCAAAGCCACAGGCCUACACUCCGUUUGAACGGGGUAGGGCGGCUGGGUUGCUGAU